AGCGAACGCUGGCGGCAGGCCUAACACAUGCAAGUCGAGCGCUCGUAGCAAUACGAGAGCGGCAGACGGGAGAGUAACACGUGGGAACGUGCCCUUCAGUUCGGAACAACCCAGGGAAACUUGGGCUAAUACCGGAUACGCCCUUACGGGGAAAGAUUUAUCGCUGAAGGAGCGGCCCGCGUCUGAUUAGCUAGUUGGUGAGGUAACGGCCCACCAAGGCGACGAUCAGUAGCUGGUCUGAGAGGAUGAUCAGCCUCAUUGGGACUGAGACACGGCCCAAACUCCUACGGGAGGCAGCAGUGGGGAAUAUUGGACAAUGGGCGCAAGCCUGAUCCAGCCAUGCCGCGUGGACGAUGAAGGCCUUAGGGUUGU
rnacentral:rRNA from 1 species